GGAGGCGAUCAUACCAGCACUAAAGCACCGGAUCCCAUCAGAACUCCGAAGUUAAGCGUGCUUGGGCGAGAGUAGUACUAGGAUGGGUGACCUCCUGGGAAGUCCUCGUGUUGCAUUCCC
rnacentral:rRNA from 1 species